CCUCUGCCUCUCCAGUGCUGGGACCAGAGACACGUGCCACCACCACCUCCUGGCCACGUUUUCUUUUUAAGAUUUCAAAAAAAAAAAGAAAAGUGAAUGAAAGAAAAGUAAGUUAGACAUGGAUUUUAGGAUAUUACUUACCACUUCCAUUCCUAGGUAUAUGGCCACAGAACCAGAUAUGCCAACAAGAACAUCUACUCAGAUGCUCAUAGCAAUACCGUGCAUAGUAGUCAAGAGGAGGAAACGGAUCAAACCCUCCAUCGAUUAAUGAAAGGAUAGUGUGGUCCAUCCAUACCAUAGAAAAGGACCAUCCCAUGCUACAACUCAGAUAAACCUCUAGAAAGUGAUGCUAAAUCAAAGAACCCACCCAAAAAAAGGCCCCGUGUCGCGUGAUUUCACUCAUGUGAAAUUGGUAAGCCCUGUGGACAGACGGCAGAUUAGUGAUAGAUGCUUCAGGGAAGAAGUGAGGGGGGUUCCUUGCUAGGUGUAGGGUUUUUCUCUUGGUGUCCGGGCAGUGGUUGCAGCACUUUCUGCUAUUCCCUUUAAAAUAUCUCAGAGGGCUGGAUGUGGCUCAGUGGUAGAGCAUGAGCUCAGAGCAUGUCUGAGGCCCUGGGUUCAAUCCCCAGUACCCCAAAUUCAAACAGUUAAUGUAUCAUGCAAAACUUACUUCAUUUAAACAAAAUGUCAUCUGUGGCCCAACAGGUACCAAUUUGCAGCUCUGCUUUCUGUUCUACUGUUAGCGAUUUCCUAACAAAGGAAUUGUCUGGCUUUGGGAUUUUUCUCUUUAAGAAAACUCAUUCACAGCUACUCAGUAUCUCAGUAGUGGAGGGGCUGCAUAGCCUGAGUCAGAUGGAGGCUCAUGGCAAGGUGGAGAGAUGGGUAUGUUCAGAUGCAGAUGAGCUCUCUAGGGAGGCCAGAGCCCUGAGAGAUCCUCUGAGGUGGCACACCCGUUAGCCCAGACUUGGGGCGUGGAACAUGUCGUAGCCUGUGUAGGACGGCUAAAGGCGAGCUUGUGCUCCAGGACAGACUGGGCACUGCACACCCAAGCCUGCCUGCUGGGUGAAGUGGAGAGACUGGGUUAUAGGUACCCAGGCAAAAGAAGUCUGUCAUCUGGGGAGAUUGGGAAUGUUCACGAAGUGGUUAUAAAGAACUAACUUGGAGCCAGGCUGUGGUGGCGCACACCUUUAAUGCCAGCAUUUGGGAGGCAGAGGCAGGCGGAUCUCUGUGAGUUUGAGGCUUGGUCUACAGAGCAAGUUCCAGGACAGGCUCCAAAGCUACAGAGAAACCCUGUCUCCAAAAAACAAACACACCAAAAAAAUAAAUAAAUAAAUAAAGAGGUCGAAGCUAAAUUCUAGAUUCCUUUUUGUUUGAGAAAGGAUCUCAUGUAAGGCAGGCUGCCCUUGAACUCAUUUUGUAGCAGAAGAUGGGUUUAAAUUCCAUUGUAAAUACUGGGAUUUUAAGUGCCCUGGCUCUGUAAAUACUUACUGAUUGCUGUUGUUGUUGUGCGGUGUGUAUGCAUUUGCCUGUAGGUGGAGGUCAGAGGACAACUUUGUGAAGUCAGUUUCUCCAUUUCUACCUUUACAUGGGUUCUGGGGAUCGCACUCAAGUCUUCAGGUUUGUACAGCAAGGAUUUUGCCCACUGAGCCACCUCACCUGCCCCAUCUUGUUCUUCCCCUAUACCAGGCUGGCAGUGGAGAAGGAUGGUGGUUGUGUCUCGGGCAUCCCAGGAGGAAGGCCUGGAUCAGAGGCCCCUCCCCUCUGGAGCCCAGAGACAUCAAGAAUGAACACAAGAGAGAGGGUGGAGGCUCCUGACUGAACAAAUACUCAGAACUGUCUUCAGGUAAGGAUCCUGGCUUGGCUGUGGAGCUGAGGGGCUAGAGCAGCGGCCAGGGACAGCCUGAAGAGAGGUGUCAUUCAGGGAAGCAAGGGAAGGUUAGGAGCAGGCUUCUUAUCCCUACCUUCUACACCGGCUAGAGACUCCAGACUGCUAAGACCAUCUCCUGACUCUAGAGAGCUGGCCUGACUGACAGAUACUGCCUAGCUUUGAGCCCUUGCAUGUUGUUACCCUGGUUACCUUGAUGAGGAAUGGCAAGGCAGACAGGACCAGCUGACCCUGUAGGGAAGUAGGCUCAGUCACGAUCCAGUACCUCCUCUUUCCCCUAGCACGCUUAUGCCUUCCUCUGUAUGUUUUCAAGGCUAAAUCAUAGGACAUGUCAUUGAACUCUUGGAUCUUCUUGGUUCAGCUUUCUCUGAUGGAAAACUUGGGGUCCAGAAGGGGGACCUGAUCUACCUCCACCAAAGUACAUACACCUCAGUGCUAGAGGGCCCAAAAGGGUUUGCCUUUCUGAGGUCUUAGAGUGAAGGUGUAUUGGACAGAGGCGGGAGGUCAGAGGCCAUCAAUAGGCCAGGCCUCUUUCCUCCCACCUAAUCUUGCCUCACAACGUUGAAGAGACUAGACUCAUGUAGGCAGUUGGCCCUGGGGAGGAGGGGGUGUACCAACUGAACUCUGUCCAUCUCAUGGGUUCAUCAUGCAGACAGGUAUACGUGAGUCUCUUGUCCUUACAUUUGACAGACCUAUGGAUUUGGCAUUCGAGCCAUGCUGUUCAAAUGCCAAGGAGUGAGGCACUUCUGGCACCAGGCCAGGGCUGAAGUGAAAUUCCCUGGGUACCUAUUUCCUGAAUUGGCUAGCCUUGGACAAUUUAACUUCCUUCAGUUAUCUGCCGCCUGCAAGUGCCCAAGACAGUGGGGUCCCAGGGCUACCCAUGGGGAGUAGAAAUUUAUUUCACCCCUGGUAGCCACCUCUGGCUGCCUCCUCUGACCCCAUCACCUUUCUUGUUGACAGUUGCAACAGUCUUCCUAGGCUCCUCUCCACUCUGCCCCAGAGGAACCUUCUAGCCCACACAUUUUGUCUCCAGUUCCCUGCAGCCCAGAGAGGCAGAAUCUCAGCCUCAGAACUGGUCCUGCCACUCCUUCAGGCUGAGACACUACCAUGGCUCCCAUCACCCAUGACCCGACAGCUGCCCCAGUCUCCUCCUCUGUAAUUGGUCACCCACUGCCUUCAAAGUCUCUCUUCCUACUCUCAACACAAAAUUGAUCACACUGUCUCCACUCAGCCUUUUCCUUUUAUCAGUUGUCCUUUUACCAUGCACCAUCAUCUUGGGGUCACUUGUCCCAUCUUGUCACUCCCAGAAAACAGCCAGCCCUGAGCACAUAGGGACGGGUGUCCAGUCCAGAUUUCCCCAAGGUCAUGAAGGGGUUUAGGAAAUGCCAUUCCAGCAUAUUACACUGACUGCUGGGAACAGCAAGAGGAGAGCCUCUACCCAGUGAACAAGCUGGACAGCCCUAUUUUUGGUUUCUGACACGGUGUCUUGUUAUCUAGCCCAGGCUGACUGGAACUCACAAUCCUGCCCCUGCCUCUGUAUGCUGGGAGUACAGAUGUGCACUACCGUGUCUGGCUUCUGUAUAUAACAAGACCACGAAGGAAGAAGAAAAGGAAGAAAGGUGGUUCUUGCCCUGGAUCCUGGUUUUGCAACUGCCUGGUGACCUUUCUGAGCCCUGGAUUGUUGGUUUUGUCAAACAGGACAAAUCACUAGAUUAAGUUCACUCGGGUGCAGGAACUGGCACGAUACACAGGGACCUGUCAGCCCUGCAGCCCCCACCCUUCACUUCUCACCCUCCCUCCUCUUCUCUCUGUCCCCUUGGAACUGAGCCAGCUCUAGUCUGACAGAGAAGAUUUAGGCUGUGUUGGUGGCCACUAAGGACCUUAGUCCUUGCAAAGCAUAGGCUGAGAGAUACUAAGUGAACUUGGACUGCCCUCCCUAAGUUGCCAGAGCUGGAAGGGGCCUUUGCUGGCUCCUCUCUUGCAGUCCUUCCUCCCUGAGUGACCUGGUGACCUGGGCAGCCCCCAGCAGGCUGUGGGUGGAAGCUGAGACCUGUCAGGACUUGCUCAGGUGCCAGCCUUAGGGCAGGCAGCUCAGAUCUGCAGGAGCCAGCCAGGAGACCCACCCCCGGAAGUCCAGGCCGAGUGGUCACAGCACUUAGUUCCAGCACUGUGGAGGCCUGGGCUCAAGGCACUCAAGGUGUAGGGACCUGGGUUGGGGGGUCUAUAUGAGGCAGUGUCAGCACAUUCAACCCUACCUAUUGAGUACAGUCAAGGGGGCUAAGGUGGAACUUUCUAUACGAGGUGUAUUUUCCCACAGUGUUUUAAAAGGAAAGGAAACUAUCAGCUCAAUAAAGUGAGCUUGGAUUCUUAUGUAUCAUGACUCCAAGUUUCAGGCCAGCCCAGACUACAUGAUACCCUACCUUAAAAAAAAAAAAGGAAAACAAAAUAUAAAACCAUGGUAUGUCUAUGUUGAUGACCUUCAGCUAAUACUUCUAGGUCCAAACCCUCCUACCUCAGCACCCCGAGGGAGGAGCUGGGAGUACAGGCAGGUACUCCUGGUAAUUUAACCUUUUUUCGUAAGAAUUGAAGCCAGGACCUCACAUCCACUAAACUGUUCCAAGCUGUAUCCCUAGCCCCACACUCAGCCCCCCUGGCUUGUUUCAAAACAAAUUCCAGAUAAUAGCAUUUUAUCUAUAAACAUCUUUUGUUUGUUUGGUUGGUUUUGUUGUAGUUUUGAGACAGGGUUUCUCUGUGUAGCCCUGGCUGUCCUGGAACUCAACUUGAGACUGGCCUUGAAAUCACAGAGAUCCUCCUGCCUCUGCCUCCCAAGUGCUGGGAUUAAAGGCCUACAACACCACCACCGUGCUUCACCUAUAAACAUGUAUAAACAUCUUAGGGAAGACAUUUUAAGUUGUACUAAUUAUGCUUUUAUUUGGGAGUUUGCUGGAAAUUGAGCUCAGAGCUUUACAUAUACUAAAUAUACUUGCUUUGUCUUAAUUUUUUUCUUUUUAACUUUGUGUUUUGAGACAAUGUUUCACUGUAGCCCUGGCUAGCCUGGAACUUGUUGUGUAGACCUGACUGACCUUUAAUUCACAGAGAUUCGCCUGCCUCUGUCUUCUGAGUGCUGGGAUUAAAGUCUAGCACCACCAUUCCAGACAUAAGCAAGCUUCCUACUACACCAGGCUAUACCUCAGCCCGGCACUUGUUUUUCUGUACAACUUCACAGGCGUGAAAGAGCAAAGUAGAGGGCUGUAAGUGGGCAGUGUCUGGAGGUGGAGCCUCUGUAGUCAGGCACUCUCUCCACCUUGCCCUGCUACCCUUGACAACUGGCGAUGCAAGCAGGAAGAUUCACCCCUGUCAAUUCCUCAGAGGAAGGCCAGGAAAAAAAUGGCCUUUGACAAUAUAUUGGAAAGAUGGCUAAGAUGUGGAGCCCUGCCUCAGUCCCCAAAGACAUGCCCCAGUGGGGUUGUGGUGUCAGGGGUUUCAGGCAUGUGGCCACUCAUACACUUUUCCCUCCCUUCCCAUCUCCACUGCAGUCCAACGCCCAGCACUCCAUGCUCUUGGGUUCCUUUCUUCAUCAAGCACCACCUUCUCUCCCACACACCUGGUACUAAGGCAGAAGUUUAUCUAGAGCCCAGUUCUUUUCGGCUUCCCUAACCCAGUAAGUGAAUAGAUGUGUCUGGCACAUGGCCCAGCUCUGGCUUCCUUCCCAAACCUGCAGCCAGACCAUGUGACAGCCACAGCCUCUUCACUAAAAUUCACCAGGCCUCACCCUAGAGAGCCAGACAGUUGCACACACACCCUCACCUGCCUGGCAUUGCCAUCCUCCUGCCUGGCCCUCUCUCCAGACCUACCAGAACAGCAGCUUAACCCACGCUACUACUGGGUUAAUCUUCUGGAGCCAACCACACGGGUCCUUUGGAAGUUCUUUUUUUUUUUUUUUUUUUUGGUUUUCCGAGCAAGGGUUUC